GAUGAACGCUAGCGGCAGGCCUAAUACAUGCAAGUCGAACGGCCCCGACACUUCGGUGUCGGGGUAGUGGCGCACGGGUGCGUAACGCGUACACAACAUACCCUUUACAGGGGGAUAGCGGCGGGAAACUGCCAGUAAUACCCCAUGUCCUUGCGAGGUGGCAUCAUUUUGCAAAGAAAGUUCAAGCGGUAAAGGAUUGGUGUGCGUCCGAUUAGCUAGUUGGCGGGGUAACGGCCCACCAAGGCGACGAUCGGUAGGGGGUGUGAGAGCAUGGCCCCCCACACGGGUACUGAGACACGGACCCGACUCCUACGGGAGGCAGCAGUAAGGAAUAUUGGACAAAUGGACGGAAGUCUGAUCCAGCCAUGCCGCGUGAAGGAAGAAGGCGCUCAGCGUUGUAAAC
rnacentral:rRNA from 1 species